AACUAGUGACCCCCAACCCCCAGAAACAUAGCAAUCAGGAUAAAAUCUGGCAUGCCCAAGGUCUGUGGAGAUAGGUGAUGUUUCCUUUUAACCUCUGACUGUCUACAUAU
rnacentral:snoRNA from 1 species